CUUGUCACUUUCCUUCACGGCGCAUUAGAUAUACAGCCCAUCCAACCACAAGCCGACAAGUGUGAUCUUCUCAUGCCCUAGGGAAGGCCUAUAGAACCACUUAGGGAAGGUGCUGGAAAGUCUAUCUCUAUUAUCCUGCCCAGUUUGUGAGGGGAUCGAAGAGAGGCGAGCAGUGUAGCAAGAUUAGGCUGAUCUAGAAUGGGAUGGAUGUUAGGGACUGAACCAUAUAUCUAUUCCAGGUAGUUCGAAUACUAAGGAGACAACAACUAUAAACCUUUGAGAGUCUUAAAAAUGAUGCAGAAAUCAAAGAGCAGGUCGUUCUGGUUUGACCACACAUUUGAUUACCCAAUCUUCAAUUUGAUCAUCAGAGAAAAGAAUGACAAUUCCAGAAGUGUUUGCUAGUGUUCAUUGAUCACCCCUUGCAGUAGCAAAUAUUGGAUGAUAGAAGCCUUGCUUCCAGUCUGCACCUCAGUUUAUUCAUCUGUGAAGUGGAAAUAACAAUAAUACCUAGUGCAAGAGGGAAAACAAGGAGGAACAGAGAACCCAGCAACACAGUCCCACAAAUAUGCCCAGCUGAAUUUUGACAAAGACACAAGAAAAACUAAAAGGAGGAAAGUACUCUUUUCAAAUUUGCUGGUGCUGAAGAAAUUGGACAUCCUUUGGGUAUGGGGUGCAGGGAAGGCCCUUCUUUUGUUUCACAUCCCAUACAAAAAUUAACUUAAAGUGGAUCUUGGCCCUAAAUGGAAAGCUAUAAAACUUUCAGAAGCAAACCCAAGAAAAAUAUCUUUAGGAUCUAAGGGUAGUCCAGAAGUUCUUAGACUUGAUACCAAAAGCAUGAUCCAUAAAAGGAAAAAUUGAUAAAUUGGAUUUCAUCAAAAUUUUAAAGUUUGCACAAAACCCUGUUAAGACAAUGAAAGAACAAGUUACAGGAGAAAAUAUUGCAAGUUGUGUAUCCAAUCAAGACUAGUAUUGGGGUGUCUGGUUGGCUUAGUCCGUAGAGUAUGUGACUCUUGAUCUUGGAGUCAUUAGUUCAAGCCCCACAUUGGGUAUAAAGAUUAUUUUAAAAAUAAAUAAACUUAAAAAAAAAAAAAGACUAGUACCUACAAUAUCUAAAACUCCACAGUAAAAAAAAAAAAAAAAAAAAAAAUUCAAUGGAAAAUGAACAAAAGACUUGAGGAGAUAGUUCAUCCAAAAAUAUGUAGAUAUGAUAAUAAGCACCUGAAAUUCUGCCAACCAUUAUUAGGGAUAUGUAAAAUAAAACUACAAUAAAAUAUCAGUACACACCUACCAGAACAAUAAAAAAUAGUGACAAUACCAAACGCUGGUGAGGAUGUGGAAAAACUGGAUCACUCAUACGUUCUUCAUGGGAAUAUAAAACAUUCUGGC
rnacentral:lncRNA from 1 species